ACAACAAGGAAAAAAAUACUUCUACAAUUGCUCAUCAUGUGGCCUUUGGUGGAGAUGAAUUACCAAUUUACAACCUCUUGUGUUUGGAUAGAAGCAAACUGUGCUCUUUUGAGGCAAGAAUCAGGAACCUAAAAUCAUUCAAGCCCUCUUGUUUAUAAGGCCAGAGUGAGGCCAAAAAUCCAUUUCCCCCUGUGCUCUAAGCCCUUUCAAUGACGAGACUCUCACCAUCUGCACUAAUAAAUAUGGACUGGUGUGUGUAUAACCAUACACUGAGGAGCGGGGAAGAGUGAAAGGAUUUUAAAUGGUUGCAAAUUGCUCUCCCACUGAGAUAACAGCAGUUUGCAUGUGAGCCUCAGUUGUUGCACAUUAAGAAUGGGCAUUUGGCUUCUUUUCACACAGCUGUGAGAGAAGUAGAUUUCUGAACGACCAGAGAGAAAACGGGUCUGUUGUUCUUAGGGACACAGGCUUGCUAGUGGCAUCUUGCCCAGAAGCUCUUUCUUCCCAGCUCCAACCAUGGGGACGACAGACAGGAUAAGCAGACCCAGUCCCCGGCACUGGAAGCACUGGGAUCUCCGGAACUGGUGAGGUGAGCGCUGAGAUGGAAGCCACAUCUCCAGUGCUCAGCAGAGACCAAAGGGAUCAUAAACAGAGGCAAGGGUAGAAGGCUGAUGUAGCCUAACAGGUAGAAAGUUAUCCUUGAAGUUAAGGUGAGUUUCCUGGGACAAUCUGGGAGCUUAAAACUGGUUCAUAGGCCCAAGUGGCCAUGGAAACAUCUGUUUUAGGAAGAUACAGAAGACAGCAUUAAGAUGGUGUAGGGUUGGCGGGACCCCAGCAGUGAUCUGCAGCCUAAGAAAAGCACCCAGUGCUGAGACUCAGAGGUCACCUCCCAGACAGAAAGAAGUGACUCCCUGUUCUCAGCAAAAUGUAAUAAGAACCUGGGGGAGCUUCGGCAUGACUAAUCAGUUAACCAUGGAAGAGUCGCAGGAGCUGAAGAACAGACACAGGGAGUGGAGUGCCCUGCUCAUCAGAAGGUGCAGCUCCAGCAGGUGAGCAGCACCCAGUUGAAAAUUCUGGAGGCUUCCCUGGUGGCCCCGUGGGUAAGAAUCCACCUGCCAAUGCAGAGGACACGGGUUUGAUCCCUGAUCCAGGAAGAUCCCAUGUAUCAUGGAGCAACUAAGCCCAUGCACCACAACUACUGAGCCUGCACGCUAGGGCCAGGGAGCCACAACUACUGAGCCUGUGAACCACAGCUACUGAAGCCCACAUGCCGAGAGCCUGCGUUCCACAAUAAGAGAUGCCGCUGCAAUGAGAAGCCUGUACACAGCAACAAAGAGUGGCCCCUGUUCGCGGCAAAUAGAGAAAGCCCAUGCACAGUAAGGAAGACCUAGUACAACCAAAAAUAAUAAAUAAUUUUUUUAAUGUAAUGUGGCUGAAGAAAUAAAGGCUCCAGAUGAAUGCUGCAGGUUGGUUGUGCAAGUAGAUUGUAGAAAUUCUAGUCCAGGUAGGAGGCUUUGGAGGUCUCAUCUCUACCACGGUUUCCUGAAUCAUGAGGCAGCAUGAGACAGACCUCAUUUUAUUGUGCUUUACAUUAUUGCGCUUUGCAAAUACUGAGGUUUCUACAAAUCAAAGGUUUGUGGAAACCCUGUGUUGUUAGAUGAUGGUUAGCAUUUGUAACAAUAAACUUUUAAAA
ensembl:lncRNA